CUGUGUGUUGUUGGGUAGGGGAGCGUUCUGUAAGCCUGUGAAGGUGUGUCGUGAGGCAUGCUGGAGGUAUCAGAAGUGCGAAUGCUGACAUAAGUAACGAUAAAGCGGGUGAAAAGCCCGCUCGCCGGAAGACCAAGGGUUCCUGUCCAACGUUAAUCGGGGCAGGGUGAGUCGACCCCUAAGGCGAGGCCGAAAGGCGUAGUCGAUGGGAAACGGGUUAAUAUUCCCGUACUUGGUGUUACUGCGAAGGGGGGACGGAGAAGGCUAUGUUGGCCGGGCGACGGUUGUCCCGGUUUAAGCGUGUAGGUGUGUGUUCCAGGUAAAUCCGGUUCACUUUAACACUGAGGCGUGACGACGAGGCACUACGGUGCUGAAGCAACAAAUGCCCUGCUUCCAGGAAAAGCCUCUAAGCAUCAGGUAACAUCAAAUCGUACCCCAAACCGACACAGGUGGUCAGGUAGAGAAUACCAAGGCGCUUGAGAGA
rnacentral:rRNA from 1 species